rnacentral:rRNA from 1 species
CGUGUAGGCGGUCAGGUAAGUGGAAUGUGAAAUGCCCCGGCUCACCCGGGGACCGGCAUCCCAAACUGCCUGGCUUGAGUAUGGGAGAGGAUGGGGGAAUUCCUGGUGUAGCGGUGAAAUGCGUAGAUAUCAGGAGGAACACCGGUGGCGAAGGCGUCCAUCUGGCCCAAUACUGACGCUGAGGCGCGAAAGCUAGGGGAGCAAACGG